GCCCCCGUUGUCUAAUGGUUAUGAUAUCAGACUUCUAAAAUAUUGAAUUGCGAUCUGAAGGUUGCGGGUUCGAGUCCCGCCGGGGGUU